AAAACACACUGGUCAGCUCCUCUGUUUUCCAGGCUGCCCUCUCUAGUUGGAGGGGCUCUGCAGGUCGCAGGGAGCAAUCAGCAUCUGAGUCACAGUUACACAAUGACCAUUACAAAUAAAUAAGGUGAUGCUCCUAUAACCUACAGUGACACAAUGCAGCACUACUGUUCCUUUUGCAAACCUGGAAGCUCUUCAAGGAAUUUCCCAUAGGUACAUCUCCAUUGCAGAAUGCAGUAUGAAAUUGGGUUAACAGAAGUGGUUCUUGGAUACCAGAACUGUGGCAGCUAAUAAAAUGAAAUUUUGCCAUUUUAUUGCUGGAAGCAGUGAAGACAUCUUAAAACAGCACAGCUGGACGUAAAAUCAGCACUUCUCCAUCCUCUGAGGGAAAGGCAUUGCACCAUUACCUUUAAAUUUCUAAGGAGGAACAAAUAGGCAGAGUAGAAUGGGCUAUUUCACAUGUGAUUGUGGUAUGUAUAAAGUCAACCCAUUUUCCAGUGUACAGAUUGUUUUUGGCACCUCAGAACGCUGCUAUCAUUAUGAAGAUUUUCAGUUUGGUUGGGCUUUCGCAGUUCAAUUGGCAAAAACUUCUUUGGUCCACAACAAAAUUUGUAUUACUUACACGUUUUCAUAGUUUAUGUAGAUUUGCCUUUUUGAGUCAUCUUCAGAUCAUCACCAAGUGAAAGAAUUUUAAAGAGAAUGUUACUAAAUCAUAUUUACUUAGUCAGUUUAAUUUUAUUAGAACUCAUUUCAAAAAAUCUGCUUUUAUUGCAGAUAUACAGGUAUCAAACGCCAAUCUUGAGGCAUCUAUAUCUGUUGGUCUUAAGAAAUCCUUUGAUAUCAGUAGAAAUCAAGAGUACUACAGAGGACCACCUUCUGAAAUCACAGGCAUGGAUGCCUAUUGAUUUUGACACUUACUGAUAAGCACUGAUAUCUUUCAAAUUGAUUAGUUUCUUGAUUAGUGUUGAUAUUGGUAGACAUUGAGAUUUAUUGAUAAUGUGAAUUUUUGAUAUGGAAAGGUAGCAAUACUUAACCAAUCUGGAACCUAUUGUUCGGCACUGACAUUGAUGAAUGUUGAUGGGCAUAGAUACUUUUUGAUUUCAAUAGAGGACUAUACCUGUAGGUUUCAGGGUAGUGAGACCCGUUGAUAUCAACUGACAUUUAUCAAUUUAAACACCUUUCUAAAGCUUUCAAUAUAAUUACCUAGUGAUAGGUGUAGAUGCCUUUUGAUCUCAAUAGGCAUCUACAUCCAGCAGUCUCAAUAUUUUUUUUAUAUCUGUAGAUAUCAGAGCUUAUUAUUAGUGAGACCUCUUGAUACCAGUAAGCAUCACAAACUAUCAGUCUGGACACUUAUUGACAGACACUGGUACUUACAGGUGUCAACUAAUGUUGGUAGGCCUGGGUAACUGUAUCUCAAUUUUUACACCUACCUAUAAAUGUAUGUAUGUAUCCAUAGGUUAUUACUACAUUAAUACCUAUCAGUAAAUGUUGAUACCUUCUGAUUUGAAUAUAUAUUUAUAUCCUUUGGUCUUAAGAAAUAUUUUUGUAUGGCUAAAAAUCAAGAUAUAGAUAGGAAGAUCUUUCAACAUUGAUAGACAUCAGUGGUUAUCAAUUGCUGACUUCAGGUUAGUUAAAGAGAAUUUUAGUGAUCACUUUAUAGUUUUCUAAGUGAUAAAAGUAAUACUAUAUGCUUCCCAGCUCAAUAUGGCUGCAUAUCAUUAUUUCCCCCAAAUUCAGGACUUAACAAUAAAUUCUAUGAAAUAAUGAAAGUUAUUCUUAGAAUAGCUUCUGUACACAUGAUUUUCCUGAUAAGUAUCAGUAUAACUGUAAAAGAUUAAACUAUAUAACAUGUAAAAGUAAUUGUAACGUAAUUAACCACCGAAUAAUCCAUUUCUUCUCUUCUGUAAUACAUGCAUAUAGGUAGACAGAACAAUUAACAAGUUAUAAAACAGUUCACAUUGAUUUGUACAGCUCUUGUUCAAAAAAAGUGCAAAAUCCCAGAUGGGCCAAAAAUUAAAUUUGCACUAUGGCAAAAACAUGAAUUAACUUUGUUCCAUUUUUUUUUA